AAAACCAGACAGCUGACAGCAAUCUUGAAAACCCUCUAACAGGACACAGUGUAGUAUCUGGCUCUAGAAAUCUCAAGAAGUAAAAACAAAUCAAAACAAAACAUUCUUCUCAUACAUGUAUUUCAUUAACCAGUGAAAUGAAUCAGGAAUCACUCUCACCACUGAAGAAAAUAAAUGACAUCAAAAACAUUGUUGGUAAAUUAAGAUGUACAAAAAUGAAUGUUUUUAUGUCUGAAUUAUUUCAAAUUUUUGUCAGCAAAUAGUUCUAAAUAUGGAUAUAUAUUUUGGUUUCCCAAGUAUAACAGAAAAUUCUAUAAAUUAUCAUCAAGGUAAGCAAAUAACCAAAAUAGCAUUUAUUCAACAAAUAUUUACUGAACAACUUUGUUUCAGGUAGUUUCACGUACAAGAGAUUCUAAGUUGUCAGAAAGAGUUCUUUCUUCAAAAAUCUUGCCUACAGUACCUUUACAAUGUGGUCCUCUUAUAUCACAGAACAUUUGCCCUCCCUAACUGUUGAAAUUUCACGUUUCAGACUGUGGCUAGAAAAAGGAAAACAUUUCAAGACAAUGAACAGUCAAGUAUCAAAAUUUCUUAGGAGGGGAAAAAAAGUCACUACAAUCCAAUGGGAUAGAUUCCAUUAGCCUGGCCUCUCACCAGUACACAGGAAUGUUCACCCAAGUACCUAUAGUCAAGAAGAAUUCGAGUAGCUGGGAUUACAGGCACACGCCACCAUGCCUGGCUAAUUUUUGUAUUUUUAGUAGAG